CCCUAGCUCUGAUGGGAACGGCAUUUCCCGAUUUACAAAAAAGGCUUUUCAGCCGUAGUUUUUCUAAAUUGGAAAUAUAGUAAACAGCAGGACUAAGC
rfam:Flavobacterium johnsoniae TW101, complete genome.